CUGUCAUGACUGUGUAUGUAGAUUCUUAACUUUUGGUCCCGUUUUCAAAUUGGUCUACAUUAAGGUCCAAAGGGUCCAAAAUAAAACUUAGUUUGAUUUUGACAAAAAAUGAAUCAGUUAGGUUCUUUGAUAUGCUGAAUCUAAAAAUGUACUUAGAUUCUUGAUUAUUGGCCCAGUUUUCAAGUUGGUCCAAAUCGGGGUCCAAAAUUAAACUUUGUUUGAUUUCAUCAAAAAUUGAAUAAAUGGGGUUCUUUGAUAUACCAAAUCUAAC
rnacentral:lncRNA from 1 species